AUUGAACGCUGGCGGCAGGCCUAACACAUGCAAGUCGAGCGGAGCGGCGGACGGGGGAGUAAUGACUAGGAAUCUGCCUGGUAGUGGGGGAUAACGUCCGGAAACGGGCGCUAAUACCGCAUACUCUCAGAUGAGCGUAGGUCGGAUUCGCUAGUUGGUGGGGUAAAGGCCUACCUAGGCGACGAUACGUAACUGGUCGGAGAGGAUGAUCAGUCACACUGGAACUGAGAAACGGUCCAGACUCCUACGGGAGGCAGCAGUGGGGAAUAUUGGACAAUGGGCGAAAGCCUGAUCCAGCCAUGCCGCGUGUGUGAAGAAGGUCUUCGGAUUGUAAAGCACUUUAAGUUGGGAGGCGUUACCAGCAGAAGAAGCACCGGCUAACUUCGUGCCAGCAGCCGCGGUAAUAC
rnacentral:rRNA from 1 species